UGCGUUGUUUUUUUAUUCGCGAUUUGAUAUGCAUAAAGUAUGCAUUUAGCAUAGGGACCGAAGCGACACGCGUUGGCGAUUCGGUCACUAUCCGUUAGUCAGGCCUCAACCGUCUGCUGUUAGAGUAAUGGUCGAUCGUUGCGUGAAGCCUAGGUUUCUCGUAAAAAAAAUUAGAGUCAGUGGAUUAGUCCGGUCGGGGGGAGACCACUUAAAACAAAAAUCGUGAAAAGUUCCACCUCAAAAGUUCUACUUUUCCCUAUUCUUUUCCUAUUCCUUUUAAUAUUUUCUUUGCAGGAUGAACUAUGAUGCCAAAUUCCGUUCAAGAAAAGGAGGAAACGAACCUUAGGAGGACUGAGUUAUGAUAACAAUUCCGACCAAGAGGAAGGGGAUGUGGAUUAGAAGAUGGACCAGAAGUGGACUAAGUUACGGUAAAUG
rnacentral:lncRNA from 1 species